GGUCGCUUGGCGCAAUGGUAGCGCGUGUCUCUCCUAUGAGCACCAAGACAAGGUUGCGGGUUCGAGUCCCGUGGUGACCU
rnacentral:tRNA from 1 species